rnacentral:misc_RNA from 1 species
GAAAUGUGAUAAGUAAUGUGAAUUGCAGAAUUCAGUGAAUCAUCGAAUCUUUGAACGCACAUUGCGCCCGCCAGUAUUCUGGCGGGCAUGCCUGUUCGAGCGUCAUUACAACCCUCAGGCCCCCGGGCCUGGCGUUGGGGAUCGGCGGAAGCCCCCUGCGGGCACAACGCCGUCCCCCAAAUACAGUGGCGGUCCCGCCGCAGCUUCCAUUGCGUAGUAGCUAACACCUCGCAACUGGAGAGCGGCGCGGCCACGCCGUAAAACACCCAACUUCUGAAUGUUGACCUCGAAUCAGGUAGGAAUACCCGCUGAACUUAAGC